GUAAGAAAAUUCUACUUCUUCGUGGAAGUUUUAGUGUCUGAUGCAUAAUGGUAAAAUUACUUAGCAAAAAGCUGCCAAUCCUAAGUGGAUUGCAGAAAAAAGAUGUUCAGGAGAUUUUAAGGAUUCACCAUAUCACUACCAUUAAUUAAUUUAUUAAUAAAUAAUAUAUUUGUGUUCAUUGUA